CUACGGGUGGCUGCAGUGGGGAAUCUUGCGCAAUGGGCGAAAGCCUGACGCAGCAACGCCGCGUGAGCGAAGAAGGCCUUCGGGUUGUAAAGCUCUGUCAGGGGGAAAGAAGGCACCUGGGUUAAUAGCCCAAGGGCUGACGGUACCCCCAAAGGAAGCCACGGCUCACUACGUGCCAGCAGCCGCGGUAAUACGUAGGUGGCAAGCGUUGUCCGGAAUCAUUGGGCGUAAAGCGCGCGUAGGUGGUUUGUCAGGUCCGAUGUGAAAUCCUGGGGCUCAACUCCAGGCGUGCAUUGGAAACCGGCUUACUAGAGUCUGGGAGAGGAGAGUGGAAUUCCUGGUGUAGCGGUGAAAUGCGUAGAUAUCAGGAGGAGCACCAGUAGCGAAGGCGGCUCUCUGGAACAGUACUGACGCUGAGGCGCGAAAGCUAGGGGAGCGAACAGGAUUAGAUACCCGCGUAGUC
rnacentral:rRNA from 1 species